rnacentral:rRNA from 1 species
CUACGGGGCGCACCAGUGGGGAAUAUUGCACAAUGGAGGAAACUCUGAUGCAGCAACGCCGCGUGGAGGAUGACACUUUUCGGAGCGUAAACUCCUUUUAUAUAGGAAGAAGAUGACGGUACUAUAUGAAUAAGCGCCGGCUAACUCCGUGCCAGCAGCCGCGGUAAUACAGAGGGCGCAAGCGUUACUCGGAAUCACUGGGCGUAAAGAGCGUGUAGGCGGAUUAAAAAGUCAGAAGUGAAAUCCUAUAGCUUAACUAUAGAACUGCUUCUGAAACUCUUAAUCUAGAAUAUGGGAGAGGUAGAUGGAAUUUCUGGUGUAGGGGUAAAAUCCGUAGAGAUCAGAAGGAAUACCGAUUGCGAAGGCGAUCUACUAGAACAUUAUUGACGCUGAGACGUGAAAGCGUGGGGAGCAAACAGGAUUAGAUACCCGUGUAGUC